rnacentral:rRNA from 1 species
GACGAACGCUGGCGGCGUGCCUAAUACAUGCAAGUAGAACGCACAGUUUAUACCGUAGCUUGCUACACCAUAGACUGUGAGUUGCGAACGGGUGAGUAACGCGUAGGUAACCUGCCUGGUAGCGGGGGAUAACUAUUGGAAACGAUAGCUAAUACCGCAUAAUAUUGAUUAUUGCAUGAUAAUUGAUUGAAAGAUGCUAUUGCAUCACUACCAGAUGGACCUGCUUUGUAUUAGCUAGUAGGUGAGGUAACGGCGCACCUAGGCGACGAUACAUAGCCGAACUGAGAGGGUGAUCGGCCACACUGGGACUGAGACACGGCCCAGAAUCCUACGGGAGGCAGCAGUAGGGAAUCUUCGGCAAUGGACGAAAGUCUGACCGAGCAACGCCGCGUGAGUGAAGAAGGGUUUCGGAUCGUAAAGCUCUGUUGUAAGAGAAGAACGGGUGUGAGAGUGGAAAGUUCACACUGUGACGGUAUCUUACCAGAAAGGGACGGCUAACUACGUG